GCCACCGGAGCCGCCCCUCUCCCCGGGCCUGCCACUUCGGCCGGGUCGGAGAGGGACGCGCCCCGCUCCGCGCGCUCAGCAGAGGCUCCCGGGGCCCGGUCCCAGCCCGGCGGGCUCCCGAACGCAGACCCCUUCUCCCCGAGGAGGAAGAGCUAUCGUAGGGGCUCCCAACCCUCACCCCUGGCGCUUCCCCCAGGGCUGUCCUCUCUGGCUGGGCAGCCUCUCCGAGCCUAAGUCCCCGCCUGGGUCUCAUCCUUGGGAAUGACGCGGACGUGCCUCUCCCCUGGGGAAAGUUGGAUCUGCGGGGUUCCUCUGUGUGUCCAGCCUCAGGGAGGGGGCUGGGGACCUGCAGGUCUUGCCCUCUCAGACCCCAGGUUGGGGCAAAGGCUAGGCACCCCUCCUGGAGGCGCGAGAUCCAAGGAGGAAGUGACACCUAUCAGCCAGCUUGACAGUGGGGGCGCCUCAUCCGGCCACUCCCACUCCAGAGUCCCCGGAACCACCACGCAAGGGAUCUUCGGGCCCCAGGCUCGGAUGAGAGACCCCCAGGAUGUCGAGUGGAGGCGAUGUGGUGGUGGUGGGGGGGAGUGAGUCACGAGGAAUAUGAAUCCCAUUCAUAAUCAACCUCCCACAAACCCAAGGCCAAAGAAUGUGCCUCCCCUCUGCCUCCCCGUGAGCCCCGCCCCCCAGCGGACACUUCCUCCCACGCGUCCACAAACCCCUGAUCCAGGGACUCUGCCAACUCUUUAACCCUACAGCUUAAAGCCGAAAUCUCAUCCUCCUCUGCCUUUGCCCUCUUGGCCAAUUCAGGCCUAUGGACUGCCCUCCUCCCCAGUGCCAAUCUUUGUCCGAGUAAUUACAGCCUUGCGCCGUGGGUUUCCGCCGCCUUUGGAUGGGGAUGACAGCUACUCAUAAAGGAUACAACUUGCAGAACUCUGCACCGCCAAUCUUCACAAUUUAGGUGUGGCUACGCCCUUUUGCAGAUGAGGAGCAGGUUUGGCUCUUUGGAACAUGCGACGAUACUAGAAGCGUUGUGUGAUAGGCAGUGUGCUCAGGAAGCCCGGAGAGACCUCUGAGCCCUGCCUGGCAGAUACCCGAGUUAGGGCAGCAGAACCGUGCAGGGCAUCGGUGCCACCCCCACCACCAGGUUCUGCCCGGGGGAAGCCCACACUUGGGGCACAGCGGGCACAUCUUCUGGAGUGGCAAGGGCUCGUGUCAAAUAGGUCCGCACGUCUGUGUGAAACCUGCUGCUCCUGAUGACAAUUCCUGAUGGCCCCGAGAUGUCUCCCUGGCAGAGAAGGCCACGCCACCGCAGGAGCCUCUAUCCAUCAAGCCUCAGCCUCUUGCUGCCCACAACCAGCCCCAGACACAUGCAGAACAGAUGCUUUGCAAACUGACGGCCACAGUUCCUUGCACUGCAAGAGCCCUAGUGCCUAGCCUGGCAUCUUAAGGAACUUUAAUCUUAAACUUCCUCUUGGGUGCUGUGAAUGAAAAAUAUUGCAGCUGUAUCAGUAAACAAAGGAUGCUGCAGCCAUCAAGUCAUCAGCCAGGACUGCCGCCCCCAACAGUGAGCAGGAGGGAACUCAGGAUGGAGACAAGCAGGCAGCCUGGCCGCUGCUGCCACCCCCAGGGUGCUCCCUGAGGGAACUCAGGAUGGGAAAGAACAAGAUACUGGCCCUAGAUGGCCAGGUGCACAUCAAAGGAAUGAUUUUAACCAGCCCAGACUUUUGUACCUUCCUGUACAUGGGAAAGCGCUAAAUUCCUUAACUUGAGAUAUCUGGUUUUCUUUAAUUAACAGUAAUCUUUUGAUAUUCCAACUACCUGGUUUUUGUUGCAAAAAUGCCUAUAUGUCCCUGGCUCCUCCCUUGCCUCUUCAGAGCAGUCUCUCAGUGCGAUCUGAGAGGCUGUCACUCGGGCUUAAGUCCUCAGAAAUGUCCGCUGAAUAAAACGUAACUCUCAA